rnacentral:rRNA from 1 species
AUACGUAGGGGGCGAGCGUUGUCCGGAUUUAUUGGGCGUAAAGGGCGCGCAGGCGGCCGUCCAAGUCCGGUGUUAAAUGGUCGGGCUCAACCCGAUCAUGCGCUGGAAACUGGGCGGCUUGAGUCCCGUAGGGGAUGCCGGAAUUCCAGGUGUAGGGGUGAAAUCUGUAGAUAUCUGGAAGAACACCGAUGGCGAAGGCAGGCAUCUGGCCGGAGACUGACGCUGAGGCGCGAAGGCGCGGGGAGCGAACAGGUUUAGAUACCCUGGUAGUCCGCGCAGUAAACGAUGCGCACCAGGUGUCGGGCGGCAGCGCCCGGUACCGGAGCUAACGCGAUGAGUGCGCCGCCUGGGGAGUAUGCCCGCAAGGGUGAAACUCAAAUGAAUUGACGGGG